rnacentral:rRNA from 1 species
UACAGAGGUCCCAAGCGUUGUUCGGAUUCAUUGGGCGUAAAGGGUGCGUAGGCGGCCGGGUAAGUCUGUUGUGAAAUCUCCAAGCUUAACUUGGAAACUGCAGUGGAUACUAUCCGGCUAGAGGAAUGGAGGGGAGACUGGAAUACUUGGUGUAGCAGUGAAAUGCGUAGAUAUCAAGUGGAACACCAGUGGCGAAGGCGAGUCUCUGGACAUUUCCUGACGCUGAGGCACGAAAGCCAGGGGAGCAAACGGG